rnacentral:rRNA from 1 species
CCCUUAGAUGUCCUGGGCCGCACGCGCGUUACACUGAUGCAUUCAACGAGCUUAUAACCUUGGCCGAGAGGCCUGGGCAAUCUUGUUAACGUGCAUCGUGAUAGGGAUAGAUUAUUGAAAUUAUUAAUCUUGAACGAGGAAUUCCUAGUAAACGCAGAUCAUCAAUCUGCAUUGAUUACGUCCCUGCCCUUUGUACACACCGCCCGUCGCUCCUACCGAUUGGAUGAUCCGGUGAGCUAUUCGGACCUUCGCUUCGUCGAUUUUCGGCUUUGUGAGGGAAAGUCUCGCGAACCUUAUCAUCUAGAGGAAGGAGAAGUCGUAACA